rnacentral:lncRNA from 1 species
UUUAGUUCAUGUCUUUUAUUAAGUCAUACAGUUACUUGUCUUCUGGUUUGUUGAAACAGUAAGUCAGACAACAUUUGCCACAAUAAUGUCUGUCAAAGUGGCAACUAAUUUUGCCAUUCUCAUCCACCUUAUAAUAUUUCAGGAGAGCCAGCUUAACCUUCUUUCUCUUGUGCUUAUUCUUCCUGGGAGUGGUGUAAGACUUCUUCUUCCUUUUCUUAGCACCACCACGAAGUCUCAACACAAGAUGAAGAGUAGACUCCUUUUGAAUAUUGUAGUCAGACAAAGUACGUCCAUCUUCCAACUGCUUGCCAGCAAAGAUCAGUCUCUGCUGAUCAGGAGGAAUUCCUUCCUUAUCCUGGAUCUUGGCC